GACGAACGCUGGCGGCGUGCUUAACACAUGCAAGUCGAACGGAAAGGCCCUGCUUUUGGGGGGCGCUCGAGUGGCGAGCGGGUGAGUAACACGUGAGUAACCUGCCCUUCUCUUUGGGAUGACUUCAGGAAACUGGGGCUAAUACCGGAGAGGAGCUCCUGCUGCAUGGGGGGGGUAGGAAAGUUUGGGCGGUUGGGGAUGGACGCGCGGCUUAUCAGCUUGUUGGUGGGGUAGUGGCUUACCAAGGCCUGGACGGGUAGCCGGCCUGGGAGGGUGACCGGCCACAUUGGGACUGAGAUACGGCCCAGACUCCUACGGGAGGCAGCAGUGGGGAAUAUUGCACAAUGGGCGGAAGCCUGAUGCAGCGACGCCGCGUGCGGGAUGACGGCCUUCGGGUUGUAAACCGCUUUCGCCUGUGACGAAGCGUGAGUGACGGUACCGGGUAAAGAAGCACCGGCUAACUACGUG
rnacentral:rRNA from 1 species